rnacentral:rRNA from 1 species
AGUGAACGCUGGCGGCAGGCUUAACACAUGCAAGUCGAACGGCAGCGCAGUAAGCGCUUGCUCUUCCGGGUGGCGAGUGGCGGGCGGUUCAGGGAAACAUCCGCAUCUACGUUUUCGAGGGGGGUGAAGUAGGGAUAAUUACGCCAAUACAGCUUACGAUCUACGGGUGGGAGCAGGGGAUCUUCGGACCUUGCGGGAUUGGAUGUGCCGAUGGCGGUUUAGCUAGUUGGGGGGGUAACGGCCCACCCAGGCGAAGAUCCGUAGCUGGUCUGAGAGGAUGAUCAGCCACACUGGAACUGAGACACGGUCCAGACUCCUACGGGAGGCAGCAGUGGGGAAUAUUGGACAAUGGGGGCAAGCCUGAUCCAGCCAUACCGCGUGCGGGAAGAAGGCCUUCGGGUUGUAAAGCCCUUUUGUUGGGAAAGAAAAGCUGCGGGUUAAUACCCCGCUGGUCUGACGGUACCGGAAGAAUAAGCACCGGCUAACUUCGUG